rnacentral:lncRNA from 1 species
AGAAGUCGAAUUCCUUCUUUAAGUAAAAUUCCAAUGAGGACUUCGAAUAGGAGAAAAAAUCCUACUCCCUUGAUGUUUCUUUUUUCUCUUGUAAUUCUUGUACCAUAAAAUCCAAAGAAGAUUUAGUGUAAAACUCAAAUUCUUCUUCUCUUUCUCUUAGCUACACAUCCUUCUUGAAUCUUGAAUCUUGAAUCUUGGAUCUUGAAUCUUAAAUCUUGAUUUGGUGUUGAACCGGUGGAGGAAUGAGUCUUUGGCCAAAAUUCUAAUCUUUAUUGAAGUUGGACUUGCGAGCAUCCUUGCGGGAAAAGGAAUCCUUAUUCUUGUGGGAUUGAGACUGCUUGUGGGUGUGAGAAUACUCUUCCACAUUGUCUUUAUGUGUGCGCACUAGGCAGGUGCAAGCUAUCUCCGUGCAUGUGAACAUCUUCUUUUGGGAUUCCGUUUGGACUUCAAGACUACUUUUAGCCUAGCCGUGUUCACAUCGUGUAAUCUCAU